GGCGAACGCUGGCGGCAGGCUUAACACAUGCAAGUCGAGCGGGCCUUUCGGGGUCAGCGGCGGACGGGUGAGUAACGCGUGGGAACGUGCCCUCUGGUUCGGAAUAACUCAGGGAAACUUGAGCUAAUACCGGAUACGCCCUUUUGGGGAAAGGCUUGCUGCCGGAGGAUCGGCCCGCGUCUGAUUAGCUAGUUGGUGAGGUAACGGCUCACCAAGGCGACGAUCAGUAGCUGGUCUGAGAGGAUGAUCAGCCACACUGGGACUGAGACACGGCCCAGACUCCUACGGGAAGCAGCAGUGGGGAAUAUUGGACAAUGGGCGCAAGCCUGAUCCAGCCAUGCCGCGUGAGUGAUGAAGGCCUUAGGGUUGUAAAGCUCUUUUAUCCGGGACGAUAAUGACGGUACCGGAGGAAUAAGCCCCGGCUAACUUCGUG
rnacentral:rRNA from 1 species